UACAGAGGGUGCGAGCGUUAAUCGGAAUUACUGGGCGUAAAGCGCACGUAGGUGGCUUGGUAUGUCGGGUGUGAAAUCCCCGGGCUCAACCUGGGAACUGCAUCCGAAACUGCCUUGCUCGAGUAUGGGAGAGGGAAGUGGAAUUUCCGGUGUAGCGGUGAAAUGCGUAGAUAUCGGAAGGAACAUCAGUGGCGAAGGCGACUUCCUGGACCAAUACUGACGCUCAGGUGCGAAAGCGUGGGGAGCAAACAGG
rnacentral:rRNA from 1 species